GCAAACUUGGUCAUUUAGAGGAAGUAAAAGUCGUAACAAGGUUUCCGUAGGUGAACCUGCGGAAGGAUCAUUAUCGAAUCGUCAAACACGGGUUGUCGCUGGUCCCGAACGGGGCAUGUGCACGCUCUGUUUACACAUCCACUCACACCUGUGCACCCUCUGUAGUUCUGUGGUUUGGAAGGCCCCGUCUUCCUUCCGUGGCUCUACGUUUUUACACACACACGCUGUAGUCACGUCUUGUGGAAUGUUUUCUGCGUUUAACGCAAUACAAUACAACUUUCAGCAACGGAUCUCUUGGCUCUCGCAUCGAUGAAGAACGCAGC
rnacentral:misc_RNA from 1 species